rnacentral:rRNA from 1 species
CAGCCGUAAACUAUGCGCGUUAGGUGUACUGGUGACCACGAGUCACCGGGGUGCCGAAGGGAAACCGUGAAACGUGCCGCCUGGGAAGUACGGUCGCAAGGCUGAAACUUAAAGGAAUUGGGCGGGGGAGCACCACAACGGGUGGAGCCUGCGGUUUAAUUGGAUUCAACGCCGGACACCUCACCGGAUAAGACAGCUGAAUGAUUGUCAAUCUGAAGGUUUUACAUGACUAGCUGAGAGGAGGUGCAUGGCGUCAGUGACU